GAAACCGCCCAGAGGUAAACGGGUGGAUCCGCAAAGUCGGCCCGUGGAAUUCAGCGUGUGCGGAGGGUCCGGGAAUCGGGCCGGGGAUCUUCGGACCCCGCCCAGCUCUCGACUGGGCCCGACGCCGCGUGCACUUUCCGCGGGCAGAGCGCCACGACCGGUUUCGCGGCGGCGAUAAGCCCGUUCGGAUGCGUGGCACGAUCUCACGGUCGUGCUACGGCCGCUCGCGGUGAGCCGCUGUCGGGACCGAGGAACGGCCGCGUGCUUCGAGGCUGCCCGGCCUCGCUGGGGAGUUCGACUGGCAGGGACUGGGCAACCGUGCCUGCCGACUGCUCCCCGGUGCCGGUUCGGGACAUCCGGGCGCGUCAGGUGGUCGGUGGCGAGUCUGUCGGCAUUCCACCCGACC
rnacentral:rRNA from 1 species